CCCUAGCCUUCCUCAGCAGCUUUCUAUUUCAGCCGCCAUAGCAGUAGCCCAGGCGCGCCUCUUCCCCGCGCGUGCGCCUCCACGCCACGCACCUCUGUACACCGUACCUGCCAACAAAAACAAACAAGCGCAACAGACCAUUGGAAACAGUUAAAGGACGAACCUGGUGGUCGAACCUCAGUUCCCUCCGUCGCAAUCGGAGGCACGAAAAGGCGAAGGGGGCUUUCGAACGGCCUGUUAGUUGAGCGGCGCGCAGAGGGAGUCUUUAGUUUUUUGUAGGGUUUGUUUCUUUUUAAAUUAAAAUUGCUGCUGAUUUAGGGUUUAGUUAGUUUUUACAUAACAAAAAAAACGGCGCCGUUUUGGGCCUGCUUAAGUGGCCUUAAAACGACGCUGUUUAGAGGCUUGCGACCCGCGCGUCGACCCGACCCAGGGGGAGGAUCCGCGUGUUUUGAUUCGACGGGCUAUCUACGCGCGCGGUCCCUCCGCGUUUGCGAUGGUUUCCAAUUUGGUCCUUUUUUCUUUCUUUUCUUUUUCUUUUAAAUUAGCCGCGUAAUUUUAUUUUCGUUUCAUUUUGGUCCCGUGUUAAACGCAACGUUUCGGAAGCCUGGAUUAAUUUCUUUAUUGGUCCCUCAACAUUUUUUGCGCAUCUGUUUUAGUCAUUUUAUUUGAAUUUUAUUAAUCUUUCAUUUUUAAUUUAUGCUUAAAAUUUUA